GUGGGGAAUAUUGGACAAUGGGCGAAAGCCUGAUCCAGCCAUGCCGCGUGUGUGAAGAAGGUCUUCGGAUUGUAAAGCACUUUAAGUUGGGAGGAAGGGCAGUAAGUUAAUACCUUGCUGUUUUGACGUUACCAACAGAAUAAGCACCGGCUAACUUCGUGCCAGCAGCCGCGGUAAUACGAAGGGUGCAAGCGUUAAUCGGAAUUACUGGGCGUAAAGCGCGCGUAGGUGGUUCAGCAAGUUGGAGGUGAAAUCCCCGGGCUCAACCUGGGAACUGACUCCAACACUAAUGAGCUAGAGUACGGUAGAGGGUAGUGGAAUUUCCUGUGUAGCGGUGAAAUGCGUAGAUAUAGGAAGGAACACCAGUGGCGAAGGCGACUACCUGGACUGAUACUGACACUGAGGUGCGAAAGCGUGGGGAGCAAACAGGAUUAGAUACCCGGGUAGUCC
rnacentral:rRNA from 1 species